rfam:Oryza barthii chromosome 11, whole genome shotgun sequence.
UGACUUUGGUUAAAGUCAAACUGUUUUAAGUUUGACCAAGUUUGUAAAUAAAAGUAGUAAUAUUUUUAACCCAAAACAAAUUUCUUAUGAAAAUAUAUUCAACUAUUGAUUUGAUGAAGCUAAUUUAGUAUUAUAAAUAUUACUAUAUUUGUCUAUAAACUUAGCCAAACUUAAAACAGUUUGACUUUAACCAAAAUCAA